GACGAACGCUGGCGGCGUGCUUAAUACAUGCAAGUCAACGACUUUUAGAGUAGCAAUAUUUUAAAAGGAGUGGCGCACGGGUGAGUAACACGUAGGUAAUCUGCCUUCAGGACUGACACAACUCGUCGAAAGACGGGCUAAUAUCAGAUAAUGCAGCGGCUCCGCAUGGAGACAGUUGUUAAAGUACAAGCGCCUGAAGAUGAGCCUGCGGUCCAUUAGCUAGUUGGUAGAGUAACAGCCUACCAAGGCAACGAUGGAUAGCUGGUCUGAGAGGAUGAUCAGCCACACUGGAACUGAGACACGGUCCAGACUCCUACGGGAGGCAGCAGUAAGGAAUAUUGCUCAAUGGCCGAAAGGCUGAAGCAGCAACGCCGCGUGAAGGAUGAAUGGCCUUUGGCCUGUAAACUUCUGUAAAAAGGGAAAACAAUCAGGCAUGUCCUGAUUUGAUUGUACCUUUGAAGUAAG
rnacentral:rRNA from 1 species